ACCAGACGAUGCGGGAUCGAAGAUGAUUAGAUACCAUCGUAGUCUUAGCCAUAAACUAUGCCGACUGAGGAUUCUUGAAAUUUGUAAAUGAAUUUAAGAGCACUCAAUGAGAAAUCAAAGUCUUUGGGUUCCGGGGGGAGUAUGGUCGCAAGUCUGAAACUUAAGGGAAUUGACGGAAGGGCACACCAGGAGUGGAGCCUGCGGCUUAAUUUGACUCAACACGGGGAAACUUACCAGGUCCAGACAAAGUAAGGAUUGACAGAUUGAGAGCUCUUUCUUGAUUCUUUGGGUGGUGGUGCAUGGCCGUUCUUAGUUGGUGGAGUGAUUUGUCUGGUUAAUUCCGAUAACGAACGAGACCCCAACCUGCUAACUAGACUGGUCUAUUUCACGAUAGAUCAGCGCUUCUUAGAGGGACAUUUCGGAUUUACCGGAAGGAAGUUCGAG
rnacentral:rRNA from 1 species